UUCUUUCUAACCCUAAUUUCUAAUGACGGCUGCCGCACACUCUCUCUCAUUCUUAAUCUCUUCUCCAGUUCUCUUUCUUCUUGUUUCAAAUUAAGAAUCCAAAUUUUCAAUGGUAUCGGCUUCUUAAAUAUGGGGUUUCUCAACUUCAAUUCUCUAUUUUUUCUUGCAAAAGAUUGGAUUAAUCUCACAAAUCUUAACUCUCAAGACAUCGUCCAGGUUAGUUUCAUUUUUUUUUCAUUUAUUUGUUUAUUACUUGGCGUUUGACAGAUUGUAUGAUUCUUGAGGUCUGCAAUUUUUGGUAGUUUUUUUUUAUUGUUCGAUUUUUCUUUGAAGAGCAAUUUGUCUAUUUCAGUUUUUUUCUUUUUCUUUUGUAGGUAAGAAUUUGAAUGCCAUGAGAGAAAACCAGUGCAGAAAGCUAAUUUACUUGAUCAACUAUUAUGUCACAAAACUCAGGAUUCAAUUCCUAGUUUUGGUAUUGUAUAUGUACUUCAUUUUUGUUGAUUAUGUACUGGAAAAUUCUUGAAGUACUUUGCACUAAAAUAUAUAAUUUAUUUUGGCUGCUCUUAUCCAUUAGGAAUACUCAAGAACAUAAUCUUUAUACUAGGCCGACAAACGAUGUUAGGGACACUAUUUAGUGGAUUUUCCAAAAUAUUGCAACAGGCUACACUUGCAAUUUUUGUGCCUAUUCCAGAGCAUGAUGAUCAAAUUGCGUGGCUUGAAAAUUCUUCAGGGAUGUUUACCGUAAAGGAUGCUAUGAAAACAUUCCGGCCCGAGGUACCGCUGUACAUUGAAGUAGUUUAGUAUGGUAUGAAAAUCACAUUCCUAGACAUGUUUUUAUAUUGUGUUUGGUAUGUAACAAAGACUUAGUACGCUGGAUUUGAGGAAAUGC
rnacentral:lncRNA from 1 species